UGAAGUGAUUAAAGUUAAAUUUUACAUCUAUGUGAAUACUUACAUCUAUCCCUUUCAAAAAUACCCUCUACAUCUUCAAAAUAGAUGUGCCAUACAAGUUUAAGUUUAGUUAUCCCUUAACCUCCAACAAUGUCUUCUUUAAUUCGCAAAUACUGGUUUCAUGCCGGAAUCCUAUUUGCUAUUAUCAUGGCUAUUUUCUAUCCAUCGCUAGGUGAAAUGGGUGGACCCCUGCAACCAGAAAUGACGAUACCAUACAUAGUCACACCAAUGACCUAUUUAUUAACUCUCCAAGAUCACAAUUACUACAAAAACUCGCUAAAUAAUAUGUGACAUGUAUCAAUUAUUUUAUUUCUGUGCUACAUCAUAAGCCCGGUGGUUGCGUACAGCAUUGCAACAAUAGCAAAAUUAUUUUCAGUUAAUGAAUGGAUCUUGAAAGGACUCGUGGCAACCAGUUGUAUGCCUCCCCCGUUGUCUUCUGGGCUACUGUUAUGUUCCAUAACAAAUAACAAGAACCAGAAAAUAAGAGAAUU